CAGCAGCCGCGGUAAUACGAAGGGGGCUAGCGUUGUUCGGAAUUACUGGGCGUAAAGCGCACGUAGGCGGACAUUUAAGUCAGGGGUGAAAUCCCGGGGCUCAACCCCGGAACUGCCUUUGAUACUGGGUGUCUAGAGUAUGGAAGAGGUGAGUGGAAUUCCGAGUGUAGAGGUGAAAUUCGUAGAUAUUCGGAGGAACACCAGUGGCGAAGGCGGCUCACUGGUCCAUUACUGACGCUGAGGUGCGAAAGCGUGGGGAGCAAACAGGAUUAGAUACCCCUGUAGUCCCUGUCUCUUAUAC
rnacentral:rRNA from 1 species